rnacentral:rRNA from 1 species
AUGCACGCUGGCGGCGUGCCUAAUACAUGCCAGUCGAGCGAACGGACGAGAAGCUUGCUUCUCUGAUGUUAGCGGCGGACGGGUGAGUAACACGUGGAUAACCUACCUAUAAGACUGGGAUAACUUCGGGAAACCGGAGCUAAUACCGGAUAAUAUUUUGAACCGCAUGGUUCAAAAGUGAAAGACGGUCUUGCUGUCACUUAUAGAUGGAUCCGCGCUGCAUUAGCUAGUUGGUAAGGUAACGGCUUACCAAGGCAACGAUGCAUAGCCGACCUGAGAGGGUGAUCGGCCACACUGGAACUGAGACACGGUCCAGACUCCUACGGGAGGCAGCAGUAGGGAAUCUUCCGCAAUGGGCGAAAGCCUGACGGAGCAACGCCGCGUGAGUGAUGAAGGCCUUCGGAUCGUAAAACUCUGUUAUUAGGGAAGAACAUAUGUGUAAGUAACUGUGCACAUCUUGACGGUACCUAAUCAGAAAGCCACGGCUAACUACGUG